UCCUGCCCCUUGAGAGCCUCUCCCAGCCCUGGGUGCUCAGCAGGAUCUGCUCCUCCCUGUGGCUCUGUUGCCUUCCUGGGUAGAAGCUCUGACCCAAGGGCUGGGGACUGAUCCUUCUCAGGUCUCUACACACACGGAUCACCAAAGCUGAAGACACUGCAGAACCACCUGGGAGAUAUUGUGCACCGCACCCUCCCGGCUCUCGAGCAACACCUGGAGCAGCAGGGACUCAACCUCCAGGACUGCACGGCACACUGGUUUACUCAGUGUUUUCUGGAUGUGGCUCCAUUCCCCCUGGCG